rnacentral:rRNA from 1 species
AGAGUUUGAUCCUGGCUCAGGAUGAACGCUGGCGGCGUGCCUAAUACAUGCAAGUCGAACGCUUUGUGGUCCAACUGAUUUGAAGAGCUUGCUCAGAUAUGACGAUGGACAUUGCAAAGAGUGGCGAACGGGUGAGUAACACGUGGGAAACCUACCUCUUAGCAGGGGAUAACACUUGGAAACAAGUGCUAAUACCGUAUAACACUAGUAACCGCAUGGUUAUUAGUUAAAAGAUGGUCUUGCUAUCACUAAGAGAUGGUCCCGCGGUGUAUUAGCUAGUUGGUAAGGUAAUGGCUUACCAAGGCAAUGAUACAUAGCCGAGUUGAGAGACUGAUCGGCCACAAUGGGACUGAGACACGGCCCAUACUCCUACGGGAGGCAGCAGUAGGGAAUCUUCCACAAUGGACGAAAGUCUGAUGGAGCAACGCCGCGUGUGUGAUGAAGGGUUUCGGCUCGUAAAACACUGUUGUAAGAGAAGAAUGACAUUGAGAGUAACUGUUCAGUGUGUGACGGUAUCUUACCAGAAAGGAACGGCUAAAUACGUGCCGGCAGCCGCGGUAAUACGUAUGUUCCAAGCGUUAUCCGGAUUUAUUGGGCGUAAAGCGAGCGCAGACGGUUAUUUAAGUCCGAAGUGAAAGCCCACAGCUUAACUGUGGAAGUGCUUUGGAAACUGGAUAACUUGAGUGCAGUAGAGGAGAGUGGAAACUCCAUGUGUAGCGGUGAAAUGCGUAGAUAUAUGGAAGAAUCACCAGUGGGCGAAGGCGGCUCUCUGGGACUGUAACUGACGUUGAGGCUCGAAAGUG